rnacentral:lncRNA from 1 species
GUGAGAUAUGGUAUUAUCUAAAACAGCAAAGGCUGAGGAUACAUCAUCUGGCCAGGUGACCACAUGGAAGAGAAGGCAAGUUCAGGAGUCAACAGGCAGUGAGACAGGAGGAGACUCCUGGUCAGCUUGUGGAGGUUUCCCGAAAUCUGUUUUUUCAAGUCAACUUUUGCAUGAUUGCUGAUUUCACUUGUCAAUUGUUUUCCAUUAUGCGGCAUUGUGAUAACAAUUUUAUUUCCAACUUACUUCAACUUUAUUAUCCAAAUUCCUCUUGCUAGAGAGCGUUGCAUUGGGAUGAUUGAGUCCUUGCCUAGCUCUUAAUGAAGUGAUAUUUUGUUUUCCCAUUGGCAGUUGUUCUUUGUGUGUAUAGAUUUCUUGGUUAGAAACUUCUAGGUUAUGGAAGAGGAGAAAGGGAAGGAACAGGAGCGGGUAGGGGAGAAAGAGGAGGAGGUAGGAGCAGGAAGAGCAAAGGGAGAAGAAGGAAGGGGAGGGAAGACAGGAUACUCAUUCCCCAGCCCAGGAAAGGCAGAUGCUUGAGAGCCUGAUGUCUGUGGGUGGUUGUGGGGAAGACUGGUAAAACUUCCUGGCUUCAUAUUUUUUUAGUUUCAUUUUCAAAAGAAGGAAAAAUUGCCCAAAUUCGAUUUAAUUCUACAAUUAUGGGGCACUCACUACAUGCAAGAAACUGUUCUAGAAGUUGGGAGUAGGUUGGACAUAGAUAGGAAAGAGAUAAAAAAGGUUCCCUCUAUUUAGUUUCUUAAGGAACUAAAGUACAAAA